UUGAAAGAAGAUCACGCGCUUUGUUUCACAAAUAUUAAAAUCAUAAAAACCAAAACAAAAGGGAUAAAUAGUCAUCAAAAAAUUAAGUAAAACGCUAAACAGGUAUGGCGGACACCGCAGAAUGUCAAUUGCAGAUCGAGUAAAAGGCCGCAUGUGCCAAACAGACAGCAUGUACCAUUUUCAGCCCUCCACAUGGCUGGCGUCGGAACAGAACUCUUAUCUUGUGCUGCGAGCCGAUGUAUGUAAACGUCGGGACUGGCGAGGUCUAUUCCGCUGUGGGAAAGUUUAAUUGGCACGUGGAUCUGGAAGAGGCGCACUUUGCCAACGUCUGCACAACAAUCCUGGACACGGUCCAGGGAGAAGGCACCCAGGUAAACUUCGGCAAUCCGAUGAUAGUUCAGAUGAGGGCGAGGAGGCACGCAUUGAUGACACCCAGCAAACAGAGAAUUUGGCCAAUGAAGAGGCUGCCAGCAGAGGUCUCUGAGCAAGUUUUGAGCAUGUGCUCCAGAUCCUCAACAAUUUAGCCGACGAGCGGGGCUGCAAACAUAAGUUGAUAGUGCUGCUGGUCUACUAUUGCUUUGACUUCAUCAAUCAACGGAAGCUGAACGCCAGGUUAUAAGCGAAAGUAUGCUCGUCGAGACGGAACUCGUAAAGAUUCUGCGACCACCGCGUCAACCGUUUCAGCUGGAUAAGCUGGCCUUGACAUAU